rnacentral:rRNA from 1 species
GACGAACGCUGGCGGCGUGCCUAAUACAUGCAAGUCGAACGCAGUGGGGACGGGUGAGUAACACGUGGGUAACCUCCCAUCAGAGGGGAUACCACUUGGAAACAGGGGCUAAACCCAUACUGUUGGAUGGCCCGUGGGUGCAUUAGCAUGUUGGUGAGGUAACGGCUCACCAAGGCCACGAUGCAUAGGCGACCUGAGAGGGUGAUCGGCCACACUGGGACUGAGACAUGGCCCAGACUCCUACGGGAGGCAGCAGUAGGGAAUCUUCGGCAAUGGACGAAAGUCUGACCGAGCAACGCCGCGUGAGUGAAGAAGGUUUUCGGAUCGUAAAGCUCUGUUGUUAGAGAAGCGGUAUCUAACCAGAAAGCCACGGCUAACUACGUGCCAGCCGCCGCGGUAAUUC